rnacentral:rRNA from 1 species
AAUGAACGUUGGCGGCGUGGAUUAGGCAUGCAAGUCGCGCGGAAAGGCUCCUUCGGGAGCACUCGAGCGGCGAAAGGGAGAGUAACGCGUGGAUAUCUACCCCCUGGACUGGGAUAGCGGCGGGAAACUGCCGGUAAUACCGGAUAAUGUCUGCGGACCAAAGGUGCGAUUCCGCCGGGGGAUGAGUCCGCGUCCUAUUAGCUAGUUGGUGGGGUAAUGGCUCACCAAGGCUGAGAUGGGUACCGGGUGGGAGAGCAUGGCCCGGCUCACUGGGACUGAGACACUGCCCAGACACCUACGGGUGGCUGCAGUCGAGAAUCUUCGGCAAUGGGCGCAAGCCUGACCGAGCGACGCCGCGUGCGGGAUGAAGGCCUUCGGGUUGUAAACCGCUGUCAGAGGGGAGGAAAUGCAUGGGGGUUCUCCCUCAUGUUUGACCUAUCCUCGGAGGAAGUACGGGCUAAGUUCGUGCCAGCAGCCGCUGUAACAC